GUAGGUGGCAAGCGUUGUCCGGAAUUAUUGGGCGUAAAGCGCGCGCAGGCGGUUCUUUAAGUCUGAUGUGAAAGCCCACGGCUCAACCGUGGAGGGUCAUUGGAAACUGGAGAACUUGAGUACAGAAGAGGAAAGCGGAAUUCCACGUGUAGCGGUGAAAUGCGUAGAGAUGUGGAGGAACACCAGUGGCGAAGGCGGCUUUCUGGUCUGUAACUGACGCUGAGGCGCGAAAGCGUGGGGAGCAAACAGGAUUAGAUACCCUGGUAGUCCACGCCGUAAACGAUGAGUGCUAAGUGUUAGGGGGUUUCCGCCCCCCUUAGUGCUGCAGCUAACGCAUUAAGCACUCCACCUGGGAGUACGGCCGCAAGGCUG
rnacentral:rRNA from 1 species